ensembl:lncRNA
CACGACAGACGAACAAUAUAUCUGUUCCCUAUGGAAAAUCUAGUUGUUGUGCUUUUCACAUCCAAUUAGGAUUUGAAUCCACAGUGAAUGUUCAGGACAGCUCACAAAAUAACUGACUCAAAGCCCUCAGAUAAUCACCCACUCUCUAACGCUUCCUGUGACAAAUUGUAACAGGUCAUGGAAGUGACAUGCUUUAUUAACAGGUCAUGGAAGUGACAUGCCUUAUUGAGAACUGAUGCCAUAUAAAAGCUUUGCAGGGUUAAAUAUUCUGGAGUCACUGAGUAGAAAUACUAGGAGUAAUGUAAUAUUAAUAGUAUAAAAUAAUUCGGGGGGGCUUUUCUGUCUGUCUUGGUGCAGCGUGGAGACACCAGAAUAACUGUACUGACCUCUGUGAACGUUAUUGAAAGGAGAGCAGAAAGCAUAAUCCUUUCCUGAAGGUCACAAAACAGUGCUGAAAGCCAGAUGCAGUCUGAAAAGGAGUCCACAGUGGCCCCUGGUGUGUCAGUGACAAGGUCCCUUGGGUGUGAUCCAAACGUACUCCAGAAUCUCAUGGGAAAAGGCUGGGAAGGUGGAAAGGUGCGUUACCUAAUGGUAGGUAUUUUUAGGUAAUUACCAUUGCCUAAUGGUAAUACCUGCUCCAGACGUGUGAAUUAAUGUAGGAGAAAGGUACAGAGAAUUUCC